rnacentral:rRNA from 1 species
AGCUGAUCACUGGGCGUAAAGCGUGCGCAGGCGGUUUUGUAAGACAGUGGUGAAAUCCCCGGGCUCAACCUGGGAACUGCCAUUGUGACUGCAAGGCUAGAGUGCGGCAGAGGGGGAUGGAAUUCCGCGUGUAGCAGUGAAAUGCGUAGAUAUGCGGAGGAACACCGAUGGCGAAGGCAAUCCCCUGGGCCCGCACUGACGCUCAUGCACGAAAGCGUGGGGAGCAAACA